rnacentral:misc_RNA from 1 species
UGAGACCUGGAGAACCAGCUCUUGGAUCACCGAGAUUAAGAGCGAUCACCUUGUCAACAUCACAGUAAACACCAGCAAAGUUACAAGGAUCGGAAGUAAAGUCCCAGGAAGCGAAGAAGUUGGAGCCCGGCAUAUCAUCUAGCGCCUUUCUAAUGGAUUGCAAAGCCAAGAAAUCAAUAGGGUCCAAAAUUGCAAGCACAAAGAAUUUACAUUGAAGAAGAAAGAAAGCCAGGAAAAUGCAAGAAACUAGAACUCUAAGCUUGUGGUCUGCCAUUUGCAUAUAUUAAGAAGUUGAGUGAAGGAAAGGCUUAUAUAGAGAAGUAAAGAGUGAGGCUUAGAGAAGAGACGAGUGCUUUUCCGUGAGAGAAGUGAACCGAUUUCUCGUGGGAAAUGGCGUGAAAGCUUAAAUAGCGAAACUAUCAGCAUCAAAAGAUUGUAGAAAGAAACAGUGGCUUUGAAGAGAAGCAACAAGAGUAGGCAGUGGAGUCUUAUUCUUGAAUCUUCCUCUCUCAGAGAUUACUUUUUCAUUAUUUUGGCUUCUGAGAGAAGACGAAACCACACUCCCUUUCUCUCCGCCGCGCGUGUCCUUGUGCUGCAUCUACAUACUACACUGUGUAUUUUAUUUUUGUUAAUUGUUUGUUUAUUGGAGUUUUGGUUCGGAGGGAAACGGUUGUCUGAGCCACGUUGGAGGGGAUGUCAGGAGGGAGGCGUCAAGUGACAGCGAGGUUCAUGCCUAUAAAGGAAGGAAGCAACUAGGGAAUACUACCAACAGUGCACCAUUACAGUGAAAGCGGUUUUAAUGAUAGAGUGAACAGAGGUUGCAUGCU